AUUGAACGCUGGCGGCAGGCCUAACACAUGCAAGUCGAGCGGCAGCGGGAAAGUAGCUUGCUGCUUUUGCCGGCGAGCGGCGGACGGGUGAGUAAUGCCUGGGGAUCUGCCCAGUCGAGGGGGAUAACAGUUGGAAACGACUGCUAACACCGCAUACGCCCUACGGGGGAAAGGAGGGGACCUCCGGGCCUUUCGCGAUUGGAGGAACCCAGGUGGGAUUAGCUAGUUGGGGGGGUAAUGGCUCACCAAGGCGACGAUCCCUAGCUGGUCUGAGAGGAUGAUGCGCCACACUGGAACUGAGACACGGUGCAGACUCCUACGGGAGGCAGCAGUGGGGAAUAUUGCACAAUGGGGGAAACCCUGAUGCAGCCAUGCCGCGUGUGUGAAGAAGGCCUUCGGGUUGUAAAGCACUUUCAGCGAGGAGGAAAGGUUGUUGGCUAAUACCCAGCAACUGUGACGUUACUCGCAGAAGAAGCACCGGCUAACUCCGUGCCAGCCGCCGCGGUAA
rnacentral:rRNA from 1 species